rnacentral:lncRNA from 1 species
CGCUUAUAAAUGAGGGCACAGCUGGGUUCUGUGAUAAAAUGCCCAACUCCACCUGCUCUAGAUGUUGCAAAGAGUUGCUGGAACCAAACCCCAGUGACUUGUCAGCAUUCACGCCACUCCUUCCAAACCCUCCAGAAAGCACACCUGUGGAUGAGAGGCGCAAUUAACGUUAUCAGUCGUGAAGGAUCAGAAGGAAAACCCAGUGGCCGUUGGGAAUUGUGAGUGCCAUAACCACUUCAAGCAUUUGGGGUUUUGUUUUAUUUUCUCUGGCCUGGAGGGGUGUGGAGAGGGGCCAUAUAUAAGACAAAGCCAGUUUUCUCUUUUUGAGACAGAGUCUCCUUCCGUCACCCAAGCUGGAGCGCAGUGACGCAAUCUCAGCUCACUGCAACCUCUGCCUCCUGGGUUCAAGCAAUUCUCAUGCCUCAGCCUCCCGAGUGGCUGGGACUACAGGUACACCCCAUAAUGCCCGGCUAAUUUUUUGUAUUUUUAGUAGAGAUGGUGUUUCGCCAUGUUGGGCAGACUAGACUCGAACUCCUGACCUCAAGUGAUCUACCCACCUUGGCUUCCCAAAGUGCUGGAAUUCCAGGUGUGAGCCACUGUACCCAGCCCACUUCAAAUUUACCACUCCAGACCUUUGUUCUAGAUGGGGAGAACUGGACCCUAUGGGAAAUCAUACGGAUCUGAAAUUCACCCCGGAAACUGACCUGGGGUGAGGACAACAGGUGGAAUGAAACCCCAAGCAGACCCUAUAGAGGCAAGGAAGGAGAUUGAGACCCUUCUGCAGAAAGCUGUUAUGAGCCUAGAAUUUUAACUUAUGCUAUUGACACCAUGCCAAGCACCCAAGGAAAAGGAAAGAGAAGAACCUACACCGCCUCCUCCUUGCUAGUGAGUGAGGUAAAAUGAUCUGGGGAGGAAAAAAAACAAAAAAAAUGAGGUGAGAAACACCAGAUGGAGCAGAGAGACUGCCCAGAAAUUGCUGCUUUUGUCAACCUAGAUUUGUUUGCAGGUGAGUGCAGUGUUGAUAGAAAGCAAGUCUAUUUCCAGAGGGGAUCCCCAGGAUCUCCUAUCAAAGAGCAAGCUCUGGAGCUAGUCCCCAGAUGCAGACAGAUCUACUGACCGAACCACGAUCACUCCAACCCCAAUCUCCCAAGAGGUUCUGAGGAUACAAUAGUUCUCAAUCCUUAGGUACACACAUUGUUCACAGGGAGUGACUCGGUGGUUAUUAAUGGCUUAUUAGGCUGUUCUUGGAGGUAAUUUACAUCUCGUUUGAGCCUCUGCUUUUCAGGCAUUUUUCUGCAAAUGGCUGUAGGCUUUUUUCUAAAAAAAAAAAAAGAAACUAAAUCCAUUGAAUACUCAUGCAUAUUCUCCAAAAUGCCUUAAAUCAGUACCUAAAACUUGAAACUAGUUUUUCCCCCAUUGAAGAAAUUAUCUGGCCCUGAUCUCUCUUACUUGCUGUCCUGUGAUUGAAAAGAACUUUUGUGGGGGAAUUUUUAAAAUAAUUGCCACCAAAUACUUCAAAUGGAAUUCAGAUAGCAGUCUAUUUCACGUUUCAUGCUUUUGUGACAUUCUUGCUCAGGAAUGAAUCUUUUAUGAAAGGUCUAUUUUAAGUUGCACCUUCCAGAACUUUAUUUUUGUCUCUGAAAGAAAGAGGCAGAGCAGAACCUGGAUUCUUCCAAUUCACCGAUUUACUGUGAGCUUAGGAUUGGCUCUCCUGGGGGUCGGCGGGGUGGGGGGUGAUGGGCUUCCAGC